rnacentral:rRNA from 1 species
GACGAACGCUGGCGGCGUGCCUAAUACAUGCAAGUAGAACGCUGAAGGAGGAGCUUGCUUCUCUGGAUGAGUUGCGAACGGGUGAGUAACGCGUAGGUAACCUGCCUGGUAGCGGGGGAUAACUAUUGGAAACGAUAGCUAAUACCGCAUAAGAGUAGAUGUCGCAUGACAUUUGCUUAAAAGGUGCAAUUGCAUCACUACCAGAUGGACCUGCGUUGUAUUAGCUAGUUGGUGAGGUAACGGCUCACCAAGGCAACGAUACAUAGCCGACCUGAGAGGGUGAUCGGCCACACUGGGACUGAGACACGGCCCAGACUCCUACGGGAGGCAGCAGUAGGGAAUCUUCGGCAAUGGACGGAAGUCUGACCGAGCAACGCCGCGUGAGUGAAGAAGGUUUUCGGAUCGUAAAGCUCUGUUGUAAGAGAAGAACGAGUGUGAGAGUGGAAAGUUCACACUGGACG